rnacentral:lncRNA from 1 species
AAGAGAAGGAUGAAGAUAGAACGGCGUGUGGAAUGCUCGCUCAGCUUGUUUCUUGAGCAUCACAUCAGCCGAGUGACAGACAUGGCCCCGAGACCUUCAAGGGAUUAAUCUCGGAAUGGACUAAAACUGGAUUCGUCUGAACCACACACAAGCCUGGCAUCAAAAAACAGGGCAAGCGAGGGGGAGUGAAAAAGAGGUCGUGAGAGAUUACAAAACCUAAAGCUUGUGGUAAUUCCACUUAUCUUCCUGUCUUCUUCCCGGGCCAUACCCAGAGAUCUAAACAACUCCUAACUUGACACCCCAGUUUUCUUGAGUUACAGACAGUUGCAUUCCUUAAAACCGGUGACAGUCAUGACGAGAAAGAAAAGCUUUUCAAGAGGAAGCAGCUGUCAAGGGUGACUAGACUGGAAAUUUUACUUCUCUUGACAGCGGUUUUGACUCUAAUGGAUUAACCUCCGGGAUUAUUGUUUGCCUACUUUUGUCUCUUGCUACCUCUCCCUUUGAAAGAAAUGUCUGGGACACCGUGAUGUUCUUUUGUCUGGAUUUGGUUGUCACAAUGGAAAGGGGAGUGCCACCGGUGUCAAGCAAGUGAAAGUCUUGAGUGAUUCUGAACACCUUACAGCGCCCAGUGGUGCUUCACCCCACGAAACAUGAUUCAGCACAGGAAGAUCACAUUUGAGAACUCCUGUGUUCCCCCUUC